rnacentral:rRNA from 1 species
UACAGAGGGUGCAAGCGUUAAUCGGAAUUACUGGGCGUAAAGCGCGCGUAGGUGGUUUGUUAAGUUGGAUGUGAAAUCCCCGGGCUCAACCUGGGAACUGCAUUCAAAACUGACAAGCUAGAGUAUGGUAGAGGGUGGUGGAAUUCCUGGUGUAGCGGUGAAAUGCGCAGAUAUCGGAAGGAACACCAGUGGCGAAGGCGGCUACCUGGACAGAUACUGACACUGAGAGACGAAAGCUAGGGGAGCGAAUGGG